rnacentral:rRNA from 1 species
AAAUUGAAGAGUUUGAUCAUGGCUCAGAUUGAACGCUGGCGGCAGGCCUAACACAUGCAAGUCGAACGGUAACAGGAAGAAGCUUGCUUCUUUGCUGACGAGUGGCGGACGGGUGAGUAAUGUCUGGGAAACUGCCUGAUGGAGGGGGAUAACUACUGGAAACGGUAGCUAAUACCGCAUAACGUCGCAAGACCAAAGAGGGGGACUUUCGGGCCUCUUGCCAUCGGAUGUGCCCAGAUGGGAUUAGCUAGUAGGUGGGGUAACGGCUCACCUAGGCGACGAUCCCUAGCUGGUCUGAGAGGAUGACCAGCCACACUGGAACUGAUACACGGUCCAGACUCCUACGGGAGGCAGCAGUGGGG